AAACGAUUAAGGAACCAGCCUCUUAUCAGAGUAAUUGAUAUUAACUAGUUGGAUACUAGAGAAUACACAGAUAAAUGUCACUCUAGGAUCUGGAGUUUAGAGAUGGCAAAUAAGAGUGCUUUGCUAGGAACCAGGGAGGUCUUCUGGAGGCUGGAAGGCAAUGAGAGGUGGGACUCAAGCCUGCAGAGCACGAAUGAGAGACAGAGAUUUUUUCCUGGAAUCAGGAGUUGUAAUGUGGAGGAGGGCUGACCUACUUGCUCCUGCUCCUGCCUUCUAUGUGUCCAGCCUACUCAUGCAGAUCCCAGAUAUGCCAACUGCCCUCCACAAGGUGGAGAAGAGGGUUGAGAGGUGCAGACCUAGCCCUCCUCAUUCACAUUCUGCAUGGGAUGGGAGUGAUCCAUGAAUGGAGACUAUGGGAGGGAUGAUCUCGCCUUUAAAUUGUCUACAAAUGCAUUUUAUCCUUAUACACAGCUGGAUCAGCUGGUCACUCGCUAGCAAUUCCUGCAUGGCUUGAAGAGGGUUACACAUAUCCAGGCAUGCCCUACUGCUCUGUAAUGGAAGGUUUUCAAAUUCUGAAAGAUCAAUCUACAAGAAUUAGGUGAUGAUAAAAUUUUUAAGCUGCCUUAACUUCUUUUGAAAUGUCAAGGUAAAAAUGAUUCUCACCUAAGAAUUUCCUCCCCGUUUAACCAUAUUACUGUUAUUAGGGUUGGAGCCAUCAAUAUUGUGUUUGCUUUACAGCCAUGACAUCAUUAUUAGAGCUGGUCAGGAAUUUUCCAUGGGAAUGAUUUUUUGAUAGCAAAUGCAGUUUCUGCA